rnacentral:rRNA from 1 species
GACGAACCGUGCGAACGUUAUUCGGAAUCACUGGGCUUAAAGCGCGUGUAGGCGGGAGGGCACGUCCGUCGCUGAAAUCCCCCGGCUCAACCGGGGAACGGGCGCGGAUACGACCUUCCUGGAGGGGCGUAGGGGGACCUGGAACUUCCGGUGGAGCGGUGAAAUGCGUUGAGAUCGGAAGGAACGCCCGUGGCGAAAGCGAGGUCCUGGACGCCUACUGACGCUGAGACGCGAAAGCAUGGGGAGCGAACAGG